GAUGAACGCUGGCGGCGUGCUUAACACAUGCAAGUCGAACGAUGAAGCCCAGCUUGCUGGGUGGAUUAGUGGCGAACGGGUGAGUAACACGUGAGUAACCUGCCCUUAACUCUGGGAUAAGCCUGGGAAACUAGGUCUAAUACCGGAUAGGAGCGCCUACCGCAUGGUGGGUGUUGGAAAGAUUUAUCGGUUUUGGAUGGACUCGCGGCCUAUCAGCUUGUUGGUGAGGUAAUGGCUCACCAAGGCGACGACGGGUAGCCGGCCUGAGAGGGUGACCGGCCACACUGGGACUGAGACACGGCCCAGACUCCUACGGGAGGCAGCAGUGGGGAAUAUUGCACAAUGGGCGCAAGCCUGAUGCAGCGACGCCGCGUGAGGGAUGACGGCCUUCGGGUUGUAAACCUCUUUCAGUAGGGAAGAAGCGAAAGUGACGGUACCUGCAGAAGAAGCUCCGGCUAACUACGUGCCAGCAGCCGCGGUAAUACGUAGGGUGCGAGCGUUAUCCGGAAUUAUUGGGCGUAAAGAGCUCGUAGGCGGUUUGUCGCGUCUGUCGUGAAAGUCCGGGGCUUAACCCCGGAUCUGCGGUGGGUACGGGCAGACUAGAGUGCAGUAGGGGAGACUGGAAUUCCUGGUGUAGCGGUGGAAUGCGCAGAUAUCAGGAGGAACACCGAUGGCGAAGGCAGGUCUCUGGGCUGUAACUGACGCUGAGGAGCGAAAGCAUGGGGAGCGAACAGG
rnacentral:rRNA from 1 species